GGGCGGUUAGCUCAGUUGGGAGAGCACUUCCUUGACGUGGAAGGGGCCACAGGUUCGAGCCCUGUACCGCCCACCA
rnacentral:tRNA from 1 species